rnacentral:rRNA from 1 species
CGGCAAGACAGAGGAUGCAAGCGUUAUCCGGAAUGAUUGGGCGUAAAGCGUUCGUAGGUGGCCUCCCAAGUCUCCUGUCAAAUCCCCAGCGCUCAACGCUGGACCGGCACGAGAAACUCGGAGGCUUGAGUAUGGUAGGGGUAGAGGGAAUUCCCCGGUGUAGCAGUGAAAUGCGUAGAGCUCGGGAAGAACACCCAUGGCGAAGGCACUCUACUGGGCCAUGACUGACACUGAGGAACGAAAGCUAAGGGAGCGAAAGGGAUUAGAUACCCCUGUAGUCUUAGCCGUAAACGAUGGAGACUAGGCCUUGGUGCUUCUCUUUUGGCAACAAAGGGAGCAAAGGGUCGAAGCCAACGCGUUAAGUCUCCCGCCUGGGAAGUAUGCUCGCAAGAGUGAAACUCAAACGAAUUGACGGGGGCCCGCACAAGCGGUGGAGCAUGUGGUUUAAUUCGAUGCAACGCGAAGAACCUUACCAGGGCUUGACAUGUCACCUAGCUUGCUAGGGUGUC